UACGAAGGGGGCUAGCGUUGUUCGGAAUUACUGGGCGUAAAGCGCACGUAGGCGGACUACUAAGUCAGGGGUGAAAUCCCGGGGCUCAACCCCGGAACUGCCUUUGAUACUGAUAGUCUCGAGUCCGGAAGAGGUGAGUGGAAUUCCGAGUGUAGAGGUGAAAUUCGUAGAUAUUCGGAGGAACACCAGUGGCGAAGGCGGCUCUCUGGACCGAUACUGACGCUGAGGCGCGAAAGCGUGGGGAGCAACAGG
rnacentral:rRNA from 1 species